AAAAUGGAAAUGAAAGAGAAAGACGGAAAAAAUAGAAAUAUAAAAGUCAAAGAGUGGUACUAGUUUGAUUGAGAAUUGGGAAUUGCGAUGGAUGGGAGAGGCGGAAGCAGAAGGAGGAAAGGCGAUAAUCGCGUUGGUAAUUGGGAGUAUAGUCUACUAUCAAUGUGCCUACCGCAAUUCUACUCUUCUCUCUCUUUUCUCCGAUGUCGUCUUCAUCGUCCUUCUCUGCUCCCUCGCCAUUCAGACAAAUGAGCAUUUAUGCAUUUCAAUUUCAUUUUCCCCACUCAAUUAAUUAGGGUAUGUUCUGACUUGCUUAGGGUUCCUCUUGAUCCCCUUGAGUGGCAAAUAUCUCAGGAGAGUGCGAACGCGAUAGUGGCAUGGUUGGCUAAUACGAUUGGUGCCACGACAAGAGGCUGUUUCUCAAGGUCAUUCUCUUACCGUUGCCUAUGCCGGACAUGUUUGCCGAGUGCUCUCAAUCUAUGAAGCACGGACAUCCCAGCCUCUUGUCUUGUCCGAUGUCCGACACACAUCUGUGUCAGUGUUCGACAUCGAUAAGACACCCGUACUACGUUCUAUAUUUUGAACAUUACAUAUAUUCACGUGUCCGUGUGUCUGGUGUCAGUAUUGGUGUUAGUAUUGGUGUUAGUGCUUCAUAAUUCUCAAUCAAUUAGCUCGCUGUAGCCGGAAGAACACAUGACACUACUCAAACUCAACAACAAGUUACAAGACACCAUCAUCUAAUUGUAACAUACACUCUUCAUUUUCUACUUCAAUACUUUUGUUAUUUCUUGUAUGCCGGAUUUAGCCCUUUCUUUCUUUUUGAGGUCCUUUUGAUUGCCGAUUUAUAAAUACAUUUUUUUAAUUCUUGUCGCAUGUAAA